rnacentral:rRNA from 1 species
UGGGGAAUUUUGGACAAUGGGCGAAAGCCUGAUCCAGCAAUGCCGCGUGUGUGAAGAAGGCCUUCGGGUUGUAAAGCACUUUUGUCCGGAAAGAAAUCCUUGGCUCUAAUACAGUCGGGGGAUGACGGUACCGGAAGAAUAAGCACCGGCUAACUACGUGCCAGCAGCCGCGGUAAUACGUAGGGUGCAAGCGUUAAUCGGAAUUACUGGGCGUAAAGCGUGCGCAGGCGUUUGCUAAGACCGAUGUGAAAUCCCCGGGCUCAACCUGGGAACUGCAUUGGUGACUGGCAGGCUAGAGUAUGGCAGAGGGGGGUAGAAUUCCACGUGUAGCAGUGAAAUGCGUAGAGAUGUGGAGAAUACCGAUGGCGAAGGCAGCCCCCUGGGCCAAUACUGACGCUCAUGCACGAAAGCGUGGGGGAGCAAAACAGGAUUAGAUACCCUGGUAGUCCACGCCCUAAANGAUGUCAACUAGUUGUUGGGGAUUCAUUUCCUUAGUAACGUACUAACGCGUGAAGUUGACGCCUGGGGAGUACGGUCGCAAGAUUAAAACUU